UACGGGGGGGGUAAGCGUUGUUCGGAAUUACUGGGCGUAAAGGGCUCGUAGGCGGCCAACUAAGUCAUACGUGAAAUCCCUCAGCUUAACUGGGGAACUGCGUGUGAUACUGGAUGGCUUGGAUUUGGGAGAGGGAUGCGGAAUUCCAGGUGUAGCGGUGAAAUGCGUAGAUAUCUGGAGGAACACCGGUGGCGAAGGCGGCAUCCUGGACCAAUAUUGACGCUGAGGAGCGAAAGCCAGGGGAGCAAAGCGGGG
rnacentral:rRNA from 1 species